rnacentral:tRNA from 1 species
GCCUGGGUGGCUCAGUCAGUUGAGCAUCCGACUUCGGCUCAGGUCAUGAUCUCACAGUUUGUGGGUUCGAGCCCCGCAUCAGGCU